GGGGAUUUAGCUCAGUGGCAGAGCGCUUGCCUAGCAAGUGCAAGGUCCUGGGUUCGGUCCCCAGCUCCG
rnacentral:tRNA from 1 species